AAGAAAGAUGAGAAUGCAAACAGGCUUAUCAGUAGUAAGAGCAAUAGCUAUGAUUAUCAGCUAUUGAGUGAUUAUACUAGAAAUCACUUAGUAUCUCAGUAUUACAUAAUACUUUUUUGUCUCUUCAUUCCUCAACUUUUCCAAGUAAAUAUAAAAGCUACUAACUCAGAAAACGUCUGAUUUAUGUAAGAUCAGAAAUUUGAUACUUCUAUUGUAUGCAUAUGAUAUCAUAACCCAGAAUAAAAUUUGUAAAUAAAAAUGGAGUUUUCCUCUGGAUUACAAGAAAUAGGAAGCAAGUCUGAAAAUAAAGACUUACAUUGAUAUCACUAACAUUUAUUCAGCAUGGAGCAGUAUAGGAAAUAGUCUAAUCUUUAAACAAAGCAUGAGGAAUAAAAUAAUCCAAGAAAAAUCAUGUUAGUCUCAACAAACACAUAUACUUCUAUCAAUUUUUGGAUUACAGGUGUGUUAUAAACUAAGUCUUAUAAAAAUAAAGUAAUUCAGAUUUUAAAAUUAGCAUUAAAUGUUUUCUGAGCACCCAGGCAGAGACAGAAAAAGAGUAUCAGAAUUAGAUAAAAGGAAGAAGGAAAGGAGUGAGAUUUUUGUUAGAUGUAGGUCUUAAAAUCAAAGAACAUGGAAAAUUUAUAAGCAUUAAUACCAUCCAGGGUCUGGGCUGCCUGGCUAGGACCUGGAGUUCUAGGGUCUGUUUUUUGUUUGUUAGAAUCUGCACAGCACUCACCCCAGGUCUUCUGGCUGUUCUCUUUGCCUCCACGGCAAGUACAAAGGGGAUUUUAAUCUGGACCACUUUUCUGGCUCAUUACUACCCAGAAAAGGGAUUGGACUGUGUAGAAAAUACCAAACUGGAAGGGGGAGAUUCAGCUUGAAUGUAGAGAAAGCACUCAGCAUGGUGCUCAGCACCUACUAAUCACAGCAAUGUCAGCUGAUGCUGCCAUUUAUCAUCACCAUCUUUAUCCUCCUCACUGCCAUCAUUCUUAAGGAUCUGUAUACUGUCUUUUUCAGCUACUUAGCUUUGUGCCUAUAUACCGGCAACUGAAAUCUGUCCUAGGGGCACUCAUAGACAUAUGAACUCCAGCUCUUCAGGCCUCUCUUCGAGAACACCACCUCUAACUCAUCAGGCAUCUGCCAGUCAUCUACUAAAGAGCUCUGCUUUGAAAAGACUCCUCAUCUACUGAGCUAAGAAAUACAAGUACGUAUAAAGGCAUACCUUGGAGAUACUGUGGGUUUUGUUCCAGGUCACCAAAAUAAAACAAACAGAGCAAUAAGGAAGCUACUGGAAGAUAUGCUCCACCAAAAUGAAGAAUAAAAUCGAGAAAGAAUAUGACAUGAGAUGAAACACAAAAGAGGAGGGACAGGAACUCCCAGGAGAACAAGGUGGUAAGCCUUCAGAGUGUCCUAGGUCCAGACUGAGCUCGAUGGAGGGCUCUAGGACGGAGGCCUCCAGGGUAAAAAAUGUAACUUGUAAGUGUGGAAAACUGUACUGACAGAAAUUUUACAAAACUACAUUAAGGGUUAUGAAAUGACUUAGCCAAAGAUUUGAAGAAAAAUAAGCAAAUUUUAAAAUGAGGCAUUUCAUAAACCCCUAGGAAAAACAAAAUCGUUCAAGAAGGAAAUGUUAUCCUUGGCGCCAGAGUGAUGUAUUUGCACAGUAUUAAUACUGAAAAUACUAUAUAUAAUAUGGAUUCAGCCAAAAAUCAUGCAAUAAUUGUAUUGGGAUGGUGGUAGGAAGAAGGAAGGUGAAACAACUAUAAUUCCCAUCAUCCAUAAUAAGAAGCAAUAGAUAAUUUGUAAACUAAUAAAAAUUUUAGCAGUAUACGAAUAGUAUUUAGAAAUAUGGAGGUGAAAAUCAGAGAAACUUCCUUAAGAGGUAAAAGUGGCUGCCUGUGGAGAGAAGAUGGGUGGG
rnacentral:lncRNA from 1 species